UACAGAGGGUGCAAGCGUUAAUCGGAAUUACUGGGCGUAAAGCGUGCGUAGACGGUUAUUUAAGUCAGGUGUGAAAUCCCCGGGCUUAACCUGGGAACUGCGCUUGUUACUGGCAGACUUGAGUGUGGCAGAGGGGGGUGGAAUUCCAGGUGUAGCAGUGAAAUGCGUAGAUAUCUGGAGGAACACCGAUGGCGAAGGCAGCCCCCUGGGCUAACACUGACGCUGAUGCACGAAAGCGUGGGGAGCAAACAGG
rnacentral:rRNA from 1 species